AGUGAACGCUGGCGGUAGGCCUAACACAUGCAAGUCGAACGGCAGCACAGUAAGAGCUUGCUCUUACGGGUGGCGAGUGGCGGACGGGUGAGGAAUACAUCGGAAUCUACUUUUUCGUGGGGGAUAACGUAGGGAAACUUACGCUAAUACCGCAUACGACCUACGGGUGAAAGCAUGGGAUCUUCGGGCCUUGCGCGAUUGAAUGAGCCGAUGUUGGGUUAGCUAGUUGGCGGGGUAAAGGCCCACCAAGGCGACGAUCCGUAGCUGGUGUGAGAGGAUGAUCAGCCACACUGGAACUGAGACACGGUCCAGACUCCUACGGGAGGCAGCAGAGGGGAAUAUUAGACAAUAGGCGCAAGCCUGAUCCAGCCAGACCGCGUGGGUGAAGAAGGCCUUCGGGUUGUGAAGCCCUUUUGUUGGGAAAGAAAAGCAGCAGGUUAAUACCCCGCUGUUCUGACGGUACCCAAAGAAUAAGCACCGGCUAACUUCGUG
rnacentral:rRNA from 1 species